rnacentral:rRNA from 1 species
UACAGAGGAGCCAAGCGUUGUCCGGAUUGACUGGGCGUAAAGCGCACGCAGGCGGUUGCGCGCGUGGGGUGUGAAAUCUGGCCGCUUAACGGCCAGGCGCCAUCCCAUACGGCGCGACUGGAGUGAUGCAGAGGUCGAUGGAAUUGCCGGUGUAGUGGUGAAAUGCGUAGAGAUCGGGCAGGAACACCCAGGGGGAAACCAGUCGACUGGGCAUCUACUGACGCUGAGGUGCGAGAG